UACGUAGGCAGCAAGCGUUGUUCGGAGUUACUGGGCGUAAAGAGUGCGUAGGCGGUCCUGUAAGUUUGGUGUGAAAUCUCCCGGCUCAACUGGGAGGGUGCGCCGAAGACUGCAGGGCUUGAGUAUAGGAGAGGUAAGCGGAAUUCCUGGUGUAGCGGUGAAAUGCGUAGAUAUCAGGAGGAACACCUGUGGUGUAGACAGCUUACUGGACCAUGACUGACGCUGAGACACGAAAGCGUGGGUAGCAAACAGG
rnacentral:rRNA from 1 species